GUCCUGGCAAUAUCACAAGAACCAUUACUGAUGAAUGGUGAACGUGAAAAUCGUCAAUAUCAAAUUUGACCUCCAUUUUGUCAUCAGUAUCAACAUCUUUAAAUUUGAAAAGCUUAGAUUGAAUGGUUCAUGAGUAAAUGCAACAACGUGAAUGGAAACGCCAUUUCACAAUCUUUCAAGAACCAUAUCUCCUGAACGGUAAAAGUC
rnacentral:lncRNA from 1 species